rnacentral:rRNA from 1 species
GAAACUGCGAAUGGCUCAUUAAAUCAGUUAUGGUUUAUUUGAUGGUACCUACUACUUGGAUAACCGUAGUAAUUCUAGAGCUAAUACAUGCAGGAAGACCCGACUUCGAAGGGUUGUAUUUAUUAGAUAAGAAACCAAUCCAGCUUGCUGGUUGCGUGCUGAGUCACAAUAACUGCUCGAAUCGCAUGGCUUCAUGCCGGCGAUGGUUCAUUCAAAUUUCUGCCCUAUCAGCUUUCGAUGGUAGGAUCGAGGCCUACCAUGGCGUUUACGGGUAACGGAGAAUUAGGGUUCGAUUCCGGAGAGGGAGCCUGAGAGAUGGCUACCACAUCCAAGGAAGGCAGCAGGCGCGUAAAUUGCCCGAAUCCUGACACAGGGAGGUAGUGACAAGAAAUAACAAUACAGGGCUACAUCUAGUCUUGUAAUUGGAAUGAGUACAAUUUACAUCUCUUCACGAGGAUCAAUUGGAGGGCAAGUCUGGUGCCAGCAGCCGCGGUAAUUCCAGCUCCAAUAGCGUAUAUUAAAGUUGUUGCAGUUAGAACGCUCGUAGUCGGAUUUCGGGGCGGGCCGACCGGUCUGCCGAUGGGUACGCACUGGUCGGCGCGUCCUUCCUUCCGGAGACCAUGCCUACUCUUAACUGAGCGGGGGUGGGAGACGGAUCGUUUACUUUGAAAAAAUCAGAGUGUUUCAAGCAGGCAGCUCGCUCUUGCAUGGAUUAGCAUGGGAUAAUGGAAUAGGACUUUGGUGCUAUUUUGUUGGUUUCGAACACCGAAGUAAUGAUUAAAAGGGACAGUCAGGGGCACUCGUAUUCCGCCGAGAGAGGUGAAAUUCUCAGACCAGCGGGAAGACGAACCACUGCGAAAGCAUUUGCCAGGGAUGUUUUCACUGAUCAAGAACGAAAGUUAGGGGAUCGAAGACGAUCAGAUACCGUCGUA